GACGUAGGGCGCAAGCGUUGUCCGGAAUUAUUGGGCGUAAAGAGCUCGUAGGCGGCUUGUCACGUCGGGUGUGAAAGCCCGGGGCUUAACCCCGGGUCUGCACUCGAUACGGGCUAGCUAGAGUGUGGUAGGGGAGAUCGGAAUUCCUGGUGUAGCGGUGAAAUGCGCAGAUAUCAGGAGGAACACCGGUGGCGAAGGCGGAUCUCUGGGCCAUUACUGACGCUGAGGAGCGAAAGCGUGGGGAGCGAACAGG
rnacentral:rRNA from 1 species